rnacentral:misc_RNA from 1 species
GAUGAAGAACGUAGCGAAAUGCGAUAAGUAAUGUGAAUUGCAGAAUUCAGUGAAUCAUCGAAUCUUUGAACGCACAUUGCGCCCGCCAGUAUUCUGGCGGGCAUGCCUGUUCGAGCGUCAUUUCAACCCUCAGGCCCGGCCUGGCGUUGGGGAUCGGCGCGGCCCCCCGGGGCUGCCGGCCCCGAAAUCUAGUGGCGGUCUCGCUGUAGUCCUCCUCUGCGCAGUAGCAUACGCUCGCACUGGAACUCGGCAAGGCCACGCCGUAAAACACCCCACUUCUGAAAGUUGACCUCGGAUCAGGUAGGAAUACCCGCUGAACUUAAGCAUAUCAAUAAGCCGGAGGA